AUAAACAUGAAAUACAUGACGAAGAAAAAAAUGGCUAAAUAUUCGCGCCCUAUCUUUUCUUAAUAUUUUUCUUUUUCUUUUUCUUUUUCUCUGCUUUCGUUUUUGCUUAUUUGCC
rnacentral:ribozyme from 12 species